CACGGGGGGGGCAAGCGUUGUUCGGAAUUACUGGGCGUAAAGGGUUCGUAGGUGGCCAACUAAGUCAUACGUGAAAUCCCUCAGCUUAACUGGGGAACUGCGUCUGAUACUGGUUGGCUUGAGUGCAGGAGAGGAACGCGGAAUUCCAGGUGUAGCGGUGAAAUGCGUAGAUAUCUGGAGGAACACCGGUGGCGAAGGCGGCGUUCUGGACUGCAACUGACACUGAGGAACGAAAGCCAGGGGAGCAAACGGG
rnacentral:rRNA from 1 species